rnacentral:rRNA from 1 species
CAGUAGCCGCGGUAAUACGAAGGGUGCAAGCGUUACUCGGAAUUACUGGGCGUAAAGCGUGCGUAGGUGGUUGUUUAAGUCUGCUGUGAAAGCCCUGGGCUCAACCUGGGAAUUGCAGUGGAUACUGGGCAACUAGAGUAAGGUAGAGGAUAGUGGAAUUUCCGGUGUAGCAGUGAAAUGCGUAGAGAUCGGAAGGAACAUCUGUGGCGAAGGCGACUAUCUGGGCCAUUACUGACACUGAGGCACGAAAGCGUGGGGAGCAAACAGGAUUAGAUACCCCUGUAGUCCCUGUCUCUUAUAC